rnacentral:lncRNA from 1 species
AACAUCUUUAUGGAAGCUGGACACCAAUGAACACAGCAACAUAUGUUUAUGAACAUCAGCACACAGGAACCUUACUGGGUCAGAAGAAUUCCAAGCAGCAAAAGGAUGCAUCAGUCUACCUUGUGGGAAGGGAAUGUGCGAAGUUCACCCGCAAGAGGAAGAGCACAGUUUAUGCAGUAGAAAAAGUGAUGCAGUUACCCUGCCUGCAACAGUGCAAGUCACAAGAGAUACAAGACCUGUGAGGGGAAGAUGAGCUUGUAAAAAUAUUCCAGUAUCAUGUCAAGGUGUAGGCCAAGAACUGCAAGCUCUCAUCCUUAGAGGAGUCAGAAAGGACAUGUCUCUGUUCCACAGUCAAAUGACCGGUCAUCACACAGUCUGUUCUCUGGGAGGUCUGCUUUAAUACCAGCAGGUAGAAUGGGCAGUCACUCUCUUUGUGUUUCCAUGACUGCUUGCACAACAUCGACGUCACAGCUGCUGUAGUGGCGACAUGCACUGAAACCACUGUAGUGCAGAAAUCAAGAUGGAACUGAGCUCAAGUCUCCAUUCUACUAAUUACUUACAUGAGGCUUUCCAGCAAGCUGCUCAAAGUGAGACAGGGGAGGCCAAGAAGGCUCUGUCCAACCCAAGAACUGUGAUACAAACAGAAAAGAUGUGGGGCUGGAUCAGCAGGAGAGCUCAAGGAGCUGCCAUGCACCCCACCACCACAUGGGGAGUCACCUGGAGUGGAGAACAAGAAGUGGCUGGGGCUUCAGCUGCUCCCCUCAGGGACCUCAGGACAGGCUGGUUUCACACUCUGGACUCUGACAGGCUCUCCCCAGGCAUGACUUACAAGCUCUUGUUCACACCAACUUUCCAACAAAUACUUCUUUCUUCCGGACCCAAGAUCCUCCCAGGUAAGAAAUUUAUCUCAUUUGUUUCCAUUUUACAGUCUCUGAGCCUGGCUUGGUAGGGAAAGAAAGGAAGGAAGGGAGGGACGAAAGGGACCACUGCUGAGUAAGGUCAAGGGCAAUAGUGCAA